CAAAGCCUUGGCAGCUGUUCUUCAUUUUAAAUCUAGGAACGCCAACUUCACUAAGCGUUAAGAUGUAUUUUCUCCCAUAUUCUCCUUAGUUUAUUUCUACUUUCUUUUCCCAUCUUGAUUAUACUUUCUUCUCUUAAAAAGUGUUUAUUUUCAUCUUCUGCAUCUUAUCCUCCUAUCAUUUUUUAUUUUCUGUAUUUUAAUAUAUUAAUGAGAUAAAAUGCUGGAGACAAUCUGACAUGUGAUGAGAAAACUGAGGCUGAAGGUGAUUAAUUUAGGAGCAAAUUCUCAGAGCUAUUAUUGGCAGCCCUUUAUUAACCACCAAAAAAGCCCCCACCCCAUUGAUGAGUGUAUCAAAGCGACAUGGCUUGGACAAUUGAAUGCACCAGUGUGACGUUUCUCAGUGGAGGCUUUAAGAGGCAUGAUGGGUUCCUUGCAGACCUUG
rnacentral:lncRNA from 10 species